GUAACGGCCUACCAAGGUGAUGAUACGUAGCCGAACUGAGAGGUUGAUCGGCCACAUUGGGACUGAGACACGGCCCAAACUCCUACGGGAGGCAGCAGUAGGGAAUCUUCCACAAUGGACGCAAGUCUGAUGGAGCAACGCCGCGUGAGUGAAGAAGGUCUUCGGAUCGUAAAACUCUGUUGUUAGAGAAGAACACGAGUGAGAGUAACUGUUCAUUCGAUGACGGUAUCUAACCAGCAAGUCACGGCUAACUACGUGCCAGCAGCCGCGGUAAUACGUAGGUGGCAAGCGUUGUCCGGAUUUAUUGGGCGUAAAGGGAACGCAGGCGGUCUUUUAAGUCUGAUGUGAAAGCCUUCGGCUUAACCGGAGUAGUGCAUUGGAAACUGGAAGACUUGAGUGCAGAAGAGGAGAGUGGAACUCCAUGUGUAGCGGUGAAAUGCGUAGAUAUAUGGAAGAACACCAGUGGCGAAAGCGGCUCUCUGGUCUGUAACUGACGCUGAGGU
rnacentral:rRNA from 2 species